GAUGAAACAAAUGAAAGAUAUUGAAGAGAAAAAACAGCGAUUAACGGGUGACAGGAAUCCAGUGUCUCAGCCAGGUGCCCAGAAGCCUAGGUCUGAAGCUACAGGAGAUGCAGCCAGAAUGAGGGUGGCCAAGUGUGGGGGGUUGAACACCCUUCUCUCUCUUUCCUGCCGGAAUCCUGUUUAUCCAGCUGUUUCCCUGAAUUUGAUGCCCCUUGUAAUUACAUUUAAUGAGACUCCGAAUAUUAACUGGCACAAUAGCAAAGCGAUGAUCUCUAGUUGAAAACUCCAACAAGACAGGCUGUUCAGCUAGGGAUCUUCCUGUCUCCACCUCCUACAGCUCCUGGAUUGGUGAAUAAACAUGAUCGUAGACAUGGUGUAAUGUCUAAUCUAUUUCUGAAUGUAAUGGCAUUGAAAUAUUUUGAUGGAAGUAGGAGGACACAUAGUAAAAUAUUCAUGAUUCACUGGUCAUCUGGUAAAUCCCUGAAGAAAUGCUGAUAUGUACACCGCUGCCUUCUCUCAUGAGCUUCUAUAUGCAACAGAUGAGUGUAAUUGUCUAUGAAACAAAACAUCGGUAUCUACAUAUGAAUUUCAUAUUCAUGGCAAUGGAUGGAGACUAACAACAGUGCUUCUUAUGGUUUCUCUUCGUAGCUUAAAUUUCUAGAGAUCCACCUGCCUCUGCCUCCCGAGUGCUGGUAUUAAAGGAGUGUACCACCACUGACCAGAAAGAGAAACAUGAUUCUACCUACAGCUUAGACCUGAAAUGGCUGAAACUGAUCCUCACCCAGUCUCCCUGGUUUCACCUGGAAAAUUAAGGACUUGAUCUGGAUGAUUCGAAGGGUUCCUCCCAGCUUACUAUUCGGGAUUUCUUUAUAAUCUAUGGCAUUACUGCUUUUACUGUGUACUCCAGUGGCUCUAUCAGAGCAGGCGGGAUAGUUUUGAGAAGAAACUGAAACUGUCUCCUGGGAAGAGUUUUCUUUUAAUAACCAUUAGGACAACAGGAACAUUGUGUUUUUUUAUUAUUAAAUUUGUCUGUUUCCCAGUGCUGAUAGCAUCUUCUGAAUAUAAA
rnacentral:lncRNA from 1 species